GACUGCUUGGCCAAGAGGUAAGGCGUGGUCUUCCGGUCACGUGAUAUGGAGCCUCCUCCUGGGAGAGUUCGAUCACGCGGAGGUGUGGCCAAGAUCGUCGGUUCGAUCCCGGCAGUAGUCU